AUUGAACGCUGGCGGCAGGCUUAACACAUGCAAGUCGAGCGGUAACAGAGAGAAGCUGGCUUCUCUGCUGACGAGCGGCGGACGGGUGAGUAAUGCCUGGGAAUCUGCCUAGUAGUGGGGGAUAACUUGCCGAAAGGUAAGCUAAUACCGCAUACGUCCUACGGGAGAAAGGAGGGGACCUUCGGGCCUUUCGCUAUUAGAUGAGCCUAGGUCGGAUUAGUUAGUUGGUGAGGUAAUGGCUCACCAAGACCGCGAUCCGUAACUGGUCUGAGAGGAUGAUCAGUCACACUGGAACUGAGACACGGUCCAGACUCCUACGGGAGGCAGCAGUGUGGAAUAUUAGACAAUGGGGGGAACCCUGAUCCAGCCAUGCCGCGUGUGUGAAGAAGGUCUUAGGAUUGUAAAGCACUUUAAGUUGGGAGGAAGAGCAGUUAACUAAUAUUUGACUGUUUUGACGUUACCGACAGAAUAAGCACCGGCUAACUUCGUG
rnacentral:rRNA from 1 species